GAAAGACACUGCUGAUCCUGUAACAUGGAGGAUUGCCUUCAUACCUCAUCUGAGAAUCUAUCCAAAUUGGUCAGCUGGGCCCACAGCCAUGGGACCAUUUGCAGCCUCAUUCCAAACCUGAAACACUUACUUUCAGAAGGUUCCCAUGGGAACCUGACGGCAAUGUGGGGCUGUAGUGCAGGCCACGCUUAUCACUGGCCACUGACAGCUACUUGCAGAGCUGGCUCCCAAGAAAGGGUCUGUUUCCAGGAUAACAGAAGUUUUAACUCUGAUAGUCCAAGUAUAAUUGGCGUGCCCUCUGAGACUCAAACUAGCCCCGUUGAAAGGUACCCUGGGAGACCAGUGAAAGCGAAGCUAGACUGUAAUCGGACCAGAGACUCUUGUGACUUCUCUUAUUGCAGUGAGCCCUCUGAACUGGAUGAGGCGGUUGAAGAGUAUGAAGAUGAAAACACUCUGUUUGACAUGGUUUGUGAGUCCUCUGUGACGGAUGAAGAUAGUGACUUUGAACCCCAACCGCAGAGGCCUCAAAGCAUUGCGCGAAAAAGGCCUGGAAUAGUCCCAUCUUCUCUCCAUUCGAGCUCCCAGACUCAAAUGAUUGAUGAAUGCAGCAGUGAUGUCAUCAUUAAGAAGAUCAAACAAGAGAUUCCCGAAGAUUACUACAUUGUGGCAAAUGCAGAGCUGACUGGAGGGGUAGAUGGACCAGCCCUGUCAUUGACACAGAUGGCAAAACCCAAGUCUCAGGCUCAUGCUGGGCCCUCCUUAGGGUCUGCUAAGCUGAUUUCCCACGUAACAUCCGCCAUCAGCACAGAGCUGGACCCACAUGGUGUGUCUGCAUCCCCCUCUGUGAUGUCUAGACCAGUCGUCCAGAAGACCACCAGGGUAUCUCUGGCUUCACCUAACAGGGGACCUCCUGGUGCCCAUGGCACCAGCCAGCAUGUGGCCAUGCAGAUGCCCGUGAGCACAUCCCAUCCUAACAAACAGAUCAGCAUCCCUUUGUCUGCCCUGCAGCUGCCGGGACAGGAUGAACAAGUUGCUUCCGAAGAGUUCCUGUCCCAUCUGCCCAGCCAGGUCUCCUCCUGUGAGGUGGCCCUUUCUCCCUCAGUUAACACAGAGCCAGAAGUGAGCUCCAGUCAGCAGCAGCCCCCAGUCGCUCCAACCAUAACCACCGAGGCCACGGCACAGUGCAUACCAGACCAGGAUGAAAGAGCAGCUGAGCUCAGCAGGGAGCAGAACGAGAAAACCAUCCGGAGCACGCAGACUGCGCUCCGCAAUUUCCGGGAGUUCCUCAUCUCCAAGUAUCCUUCUGAAACAAGAGAGAUUUAUGUCAUCCCUUGCAAGGAGUUGGAUGCCUACCUGGCCUCUUUCUUUGUGGAUGCCAGGCAGAAGGAUGGAUCCGAGUAUGAACCCAACAGCUUGGCCAAUUACCAAUGUGGACUUGAACGGUACCUAAAAGAACACAGAUAUGGCUACAGUAUCACCAGGGAUAAGGAAUUCAAGCACUCCCAAGAGGCACUCAAACAGAAGCAGAUUGAACUCCGCUGCAAAGGAAAAGGAAAUAAGCCACACAAGUCCAUGAAGCUCACCUUUGCUGAUGAGCUCAUUCUGCGAAAGAGAGGGCUGCUAAGUCGCUAUAACCCUGAGGGUCUGCUCAACCUCGUCUGGCUCAACAACACAAAAGCUUUUGGGCACUGCACAGGCUUCCACGGGUCUACCUUGAAGUGGGGUGACAUUCGGCUCCGGGUAACAGAGACGGGACUGGAGUACUUGGAGUGGAUGGGCCAAGACGCUGGCGACCUAAAUGCCAAAACCAAGAGAGGGGGCACAGACUCCCGUGUGUAUGCCACCCAGCACGCGCCGCAGACCUGCCCGGUACAGGACUAUAAGGAGUAUGCCCAGCGGCGGCCUCCUGCCAUGCGCUAUGAGGAUGCCCCUUUCUACUUGUCCAUCAAGCCAGUCGUGAACUUGGCGGCUCUGCAUUGGUACAACUGCCAGGCCCUCGGCAAGAACAAGCUGGCCAAGAUGGUGAAGACCAUGUGCGAGAAGGGGAACAUCCCGGGCAGGAAGACCAACUUCAGUGUGUAUCAGAGCUGCAGCACCUUGUCCGAGGCCCAGAGCAACCAGCUGGUGCUUAUCUGUAACAAUCUGAGCCAGCAGGCCGCCCAGUCAGUGGCGGGGCACUCCAACAGUGGCAAUUUCAUCGUCUCUGCCUCCUAUGACUCGUCCUCAGACACGGCUUGA
rnacentral:lncRNA from 1 species